AACAGAGCGAGGCCAGCUGGGGACGCAGGCAGCGGAGGUCAGCAGGGAAGAUGCAGGCCCAACCAGCUCUGAGACCCAGAGCUCCUUGGAGCUCCCUUGUCAUGGAGCUCCCUGGGCCUCAGUUCCUUGUCUGUAAAAUGGGAGGAUUAUACCUUCACCAUGGAACUACCGUUCGGCAAGGAACUGAAACUCAGAGAGGUGCAGUGAUGCACCCAAGACCACACAGCCAAGAACCCAGGCCAGCCUGAGCUAGUGGAACCAGCAGACUUUCCAAGGCUCCUCCCUGGAAGACGAUGUCCCGUCACCUGCAGACCUCCAGUAACAGGGCUCUCAGCGCCCACCUAAAGCUACUGGUUCUCCUUUUUUUUUUCCUUUUCUUUGCUCACUGCCGCCUCUGCCUCCCAGGUUCAAGUGAUUCUCCUGCC